UACGAAGGGGAUAAGCGUUACUCAGCAUUAUUGGGCGUAAAGGGUGCGUAGGUGGUUUAAUAAGUUAAUACGAAAAUCCAAGACAUUUAAUUUUUGUAAAGUGAUUAAUACUGUUAAACUAGAGUGUAAAAGAGGAUAGUAGUAUUCUUAGUGUAGAGGUAAAAUUCGUAAAUAUUAAGAGGACUAUCAAUAGGCGAAGGCAACUAUCUGGUUUAUUCUGACGCUGAGGCACGAAAGCAUGGGGAGCAAACAGG
rnacentral:rRNA from 1 species